rnacentral:rRNA from 1 species
GGGAGCUCUCCCAUAUGGUCGACCUGCAGGCGGCCGCGAAUUCACUAGUGAUUCGUAUUACCGCGGCUGCUGGCACAGAGUUAGCCGGUGCUUAUUCUGUCGGUAACGUCAAGACAGCAACGUAUUAGGUUACUGCCCUUCCUCCCAACUUAAAGUGCUUUACAAUCCGAAGACCUUCUUCACACACGCGGCAUGGCUGGAUCAGGCUUUCGCCCAUUGUCCAAUAUUCCCCACUGCUGCCUCCCGUAGGAGUCUGGACCGUGUCUCAGUUCCAGUGUGACUGAUCAUCCUCUCAGACCAGUUACGGAUCGUCGCCUUGGUGAGCCAUUACCUCACCAACUAGCUAAUCCGACCUAGGCUCAUCUGAUAGCGCAAGGCCCGAAGGUCCCCUGCUUUCUCCCGUAGGACGUAUGCGGUAUUAGCGUCCGUUUCCGAGCGUUAUCCCCCACUACCAGGCAGAUUCCUAGGCAUUACUCACCCGUCCGCCGCUCUCAAGAGAAGCAAGCUUCUCUCUACCGCUCGACUUGCAUGUGUUAGGCCUGCCGCCAGCGUUCAAUCUGAGCCAUGAUCAAACUCUAAUCGAAUUCCCGCGGCCGCCAUGGCGGCCGGGAGCAUGCGAC